GUGAGGAAUAUUGGACAAUGGGUUGGCGCCUGAUCCGGCCAUCCCGCGUGAAGGACGACGGCCCUAUGGGUUGUAAACUUCUUUUGUACGGGGAUAAACCUACACUCGUGAGAGUGGCUGAAGGUACUGUACGAGUAGGCACCGGCAACUCCGUG
rnacentral:rRNA from 1 species